CCUACGGGGGGCAGCAGUCGAGAAUCUUCGUCAAUGGGCGAAAGCCUGAACGAGCGACGCCGCGUGCGGGAUGAAGGCCUUUGGGUUGUAAACCGCUGUCGAGGGGGAUGAAGGCUGGAAAGUCAUCUUUCCAGUUUGACAGAGCCCUGGAGGAAGCACGGGCUAAGUUCGUGCCAGCAGCCGCGGUAAUACGAACUGUGCGAACGUUAUUCGGAAUCACUGGGCUUACAGGGUGCGUCGGGGGCUGUGUGAAAGCCCCCGGCUCAACCGGGGAAUUGCGCUUGAAACUGGAGAGCUCGAGUCAGCUAGAGGUGCACGGAACUUCCAGUGGAGCGGUGAAAUGUGUUGAUAUUGGAAGGAACACCGGAGGCGAAAGCGGUGCACUGGGGCUGGUCUGACGCUGAGGCACGAAAGCCAGGGGAGCGAACGGGAUUAGAUACCCGUGUAGUC
rnacentral:rRNA from 1 species